rnacentral:tRNA from 1 species
CGGCGGGGUGGGGCGCGGCCGCUCCGCCUGUUCGUGUCGGGCCGGGGCGCCCAGCACGUGAUCCAGCACCAGAACGUGCCCGGUCUCACCGAC